UCUCGAUAGCGUAAAAGUUAACUCAAAUUUGUAUGUAGUUAGAACGUUGGUCUACGUUUGCCGCUAGGGGCGCUGUUCCAACUGCAUACAUAUUAAGUUAACUUGUACGCUAUCGA
rnacentral:pre_miRNA from 9 species